UACAGCCAUAUCAUGUUGAAACACUGGUUCUCGUACAAUCACUGAAGUUAAGCAACAUUGAGCCUGGUCAGUUCUUAGAUGGGUGACCAUUUGGGAAUACU